GACCAUCAGCAGAGAAGCAGAAAGGAGGCAAACUCAGCUAUGUAGGCAAGUGGGGCAAGAACCAGGAAAUUCAGAGUUUCACUGUUAAUAUAAUGUAAGAACAUGGAUGUUACAUCCAAAUGAAAGGAUCUUCUGUAGUUUGAGGUGUAGUCCUCUGUCACAGCAUUGAAGAUUCAAUCAUUGUCAUCAAUGCAUAGAGAAGAUGCAUUUUGAUCCCUUGAUGCCACUAGGAUCUUAGGCAGGACUGGGUUGGAAGAAGGCCCUGGCACUGUCACUCCUUUAAUAAUUGCCAUGCACAUAGAAAGUGGAGUUCAAGACAAAAUGAGCAUCUCUAAGAAGACACUAGGUAGAAAGUUUCUUCCCAUUCCAUUUCUGUCAUUCCUCAAGAUGAAUCAGAAAGACCUAUGGAGAACAGAGGUACUUGCUGCAAAAGUGUCUCUUCUUGCUUCGUCCAUGUAUACAAGAUUAUAAAAUGUACCUCGAAUUCAAGUCAAAGAAAUGAAAGAGUUGAGGGAAUACAAACAGGAACUGAACACUGUUCUAGACCUGGAGAAACUGAGAUCAACUGGGAUUAAAUGAGAUUAAAAUCCUGGCCCUGAACUGCAGUCCUCUGGUUAGAUUCCUGCUUCCAGCCAUCUCUAAUGCCACCUGCUAUCCUGCUUGGCUCUUUUGGGGGCUCUGCACUGCCCACAUGCCUGGUUAUUUACCUCCUGCAUCUCCCUGGACAUCGUUUUGUUACCUACUACUGGAGCCAGUCCCAACCUGAUAGAAUGAUCAGGUUUGGAGGUUUUAACCUUCUCUUGGUUGAUCCAUCACCAAUGCCAAAAGAACCCUGGUUCUGACCCUAAGCCCACUCCUAAUCCAGUUGGAGACAGAGAAAUAAAGAUGAAUGGAGGAGAUGGCAAUCAAGC